rnacentral:rRNA from 1 species
GAUGAACGCUGGCGGCGUGCCUAAUACAUGCAAGUCGAGCGAACAGACGAGGAGCUUGCUCCUCUGACGUUAGCGGCGGACGGGUGAGUAACACGUGGAUAACCUACCUAUAAGACUGGGAUAACUUCGGGAAACCGGAGCUAAUACCGGAUAAUAUAUUGAACCGCAUGGUUCAAUAGUGAAAGACGGUUUUGCUGUCACUUAUAGAUGGAUCCGCGCCGCAUUAGCUAGUUGGUAAGGUAACGGCUUACCAAGGCAACGAUGCGUAGCCGACCUGAGAGGGUGAUCGGCCACACUGGAACUGAGACACGGUCCAGACUCCUACGGGAGGCAGCAGUAGGGAAUCUUCCGUAAUGGGCGAAAGCCUGACGGAGCAACGCCGCGUGAAUGAUGAAGGUCUUCGGAUCGUAAAACUCUGUUAUUAGGGAAGAACAAAUGUGUAAGUAACUAUGCACGUCUUGACGGUACCUAAUCAGAAAGCCACGGCUAACUACGUG